GCUCCAUAUCUGCAAAGCCCACACCACGGACAGACCUCCCUGGCUCUCUUUAGUGGUUGGCCUGAUUGAUCUCAUUAAUUGAGUCGCUCAUUCUCCAAGAGCAGUGCAGAGGAGCUCCCUGAAGUGGAGGGACCCUGAAGACUAUGGAGCAGGAGGACUUUCCCAGGAAAACCAUGCCUCUAACAAGACAUGUCUAACUUCUCUCUCAGGGCAUCAGUACACAGAAUAAGUCGUUACAGUGAUUCCCAAAGACUUCAACCAGAAAUGGUUCAACACGAGGGCACCUUUGCUGCAGUUCUGGACUCCUGCACCAGGGACGUCAAUCACACAUGACCCUGUUGAAAACCAACAUCCACUGAAACAAAAGACAAUUGUGAGUAUAAGGAUGAGGUGAAAAAUAGAUUCUAGAGGAGAAUAGACCCCUCUCCCUGAUGUCCUCAGAAGGCCCUCAAACCAAGUGCCCGUCCCAUCCCACCCUUGACCUGCCUCAGCCCGUAAGAGCUUGAUCUUUUGUCUCUGAAAAGACAACAGGAUUGGGUCUUUAAGUGAAGAAAUAAAUAGUAAGUAGUUUUCCAGGUUUUCCGCAGCGAUGUCUCGUAUUUGACAAUCUUACACUCCCCGACUUGACAGUCUGCUUUCACUAAUCCAUAUGCAUAUAAGGUGUAUAUUACCCCCACGUCUACGAGAUUCUCACUUAGCCAACGACAUCUGUCUUUGAACUGUCAUGAAAUGCUAGAAUGAUUCUUUUUCUUUUGUGGUGUCAAUUCCUCUUUCUGUCAUUAUUAACCCUGUUAAGUACCCUCUUCCCUCCCCUUCUGAAAGGCAUGAACUGAGCGCUCAGUUUCAAACAUACCCCCUUAGCACAGCCAGAUGGCGGGGGAGAAGCACAUCUAGCUAUCUGCUUCAUCAAACAUCUACUUUCCCUCCAUCAACGGGGAGUCGGCCCUUUUGUACAUUUAACAAAUUCAAGCAAUUUAGCAACUGGGUUAAAGUCUAUGUAAAGUACUUCAACAACAUGGGAAAUGAAGACACUGGUCUUCUGUCUGAGAACUGGUUAAUGGAAGGCGUGAAGUCUCAGAACGCGCACAACAGUGGGUUCUUACAGUGCCGCCUA